UAAAUAGUAGUAUAAUAAAAUACAGUCAACUUCGGAUUGACAAAUGCUCAGCCUAUUUAC
rnacentral:tRNA from 1 species